CUGUCGUCAGCUCGUGUUGUGAAAUGUUGGGUUAAGUCCCGCAACGAGCGCAACCCUUAUCCUUUGUUGCCAGCGGUUCGGCCGGGAACUCAAAGGAGACUGCCAGUGAUAAACUGGAGGAAGGUGGGGAUGACGUCAAGUCAUCAUGGCCCUUACGAGUAGGGCUACACACGUGCUACAAUGGCAUAUACAAAGAGAAGCGACCUCGCGAGAGCAAGCGGACCUCAUAAAGUAUGUCGUAGUCCGGAUUGGAGUCUGCAACUCGACUCCAUGAAGUCGGAAUCGCUAGUAAUCGUAGAUCAGAAUGCUACGGUGAAUACGUUCCCGGGCCUUGUACACACCGCCCGU
rnacentral:rRNA from 1 species